AGAAACCAUGCCUAGAUGGGUUAGAGGGAGGUCAAGAACCAUAACUCCUCCAGAAUCAAAUUAUGUGGAUCUAAGUCCAUCCCCACCUCGCUCGCCUACAGUGCUAGUUAAUUAUACUAGUCAAGAAAAUACAUCAACUUAUCAGCCAAGGAGUCCAAAGGUGAAUACAAAUGUUGAUGAACUUGAUCAAGCAAUGGCUUUAUUGGAAGCUUUUUUAUAUCUCAUCGAAGAUAUUGAAAAGGCUCUAUAGAAGAAGUAGGGAUUAAUGAUGUACUUGUUCAAGAAAGUGUUCCUCUUCUUCUUGUUACUCCUCUUCCUCCUCAGCCUAGCCACAUUGAGGUUUCAUCUCAACUUGAACAAACCAUGCCUAAACGAGUAAGAGGGAGGCCAAGAACUAAGUCUCCUCUAGAAUCAAAGCCACGCCGUGACUGUGGACGGCCACAACUUCUUAAUGAUAUACCUUCUUGGCUGCCUUUGGGUUGGAGGGUUAUAAAAAGGUUUGACGGAAUGGUUUGAGUGUAGGACACACUGAUAAGGUAAUUAAAUUGAUUUUUGAUGCCCUUUCAAUUGCAUGCAUCAAUUUAUAUAUAUGCUACUUUGAAAUUAUGAAACUGAAUUUAAUUAUUUGAAAAUUAUUUUAUAAUUUCUUUUCUUUUCUUUGAAAAUGAACUUCAA
rnacentral:misc_RNA from 1 species